rnacentral:rRNA from 1 species
GCCAAGCUCAGUCGAGAUUGGCAGCAGUGGGGAAUAUUGGACAAUGGGCGCAAGCCUGAUCCAGCCAUGCCGCGUGAGUGAAGAAGGCCCUAGGGUUGUAAAGCUCUUUCACCUGUGAAGAUGAUGACGGUAGCAGGACAAGAAGCCCCGGCUAACUCCGUGCCAGCAGCCGCGGUAAUACGGAGGGGGCUAGCGUUGCUCGGAAUUACUGGGCGUAAAGGGCGCGCAGGCGGAACACAUAGUCAGACGUGAAAGCCCCGGGCUUAACCUGGGAACUGCGUUUGAUACUUGUGAUCUGGAGUCUCGGAGAGGGUGGUGGAAUUCCCAGUGUAGAGGUGAAAUUCGUAGAUAUUGGGAAGAACACCAGUGGCGAAGGCGGCCACCUGGACGAGUACUGACGCUGAGGCGCGAAAGCGUGGGGAGCAAACAGGAUUAGAUACCCUGGUAGUCCACGCCGUAAACGAUGUGUGCAAGACGUCGGGCAGCAUGCUGUUCGGUGUCGCAGUUAACGCACUAAGCACACCGCCUGGGGAGUACGGUCGCAAGAUUAAAACUCAAAUGAAUUGACGG